UUGAUAUGAUUGAGCUAUUGAAUCAUAUGAUAUGUGGAUUCUCUGCCAAUACAACUGUAAAAAAAGAACACAGGUCCGCUCCAGCUUACUUCUCCCCCUUUCACAGCCACGCAGACCAAUAAUUAGACCUGAGAGGUGGUUAUGAAUUGGAUUGAACUUGCUUAGAUGGUCCCAGGAGCCCAGGUGACACAGUGGAUUGUGUUGGGCUGGGAACCACCGGAGCAGCAGUUGUAACCCACCAUACACCACCGCCCACCCCAGAGAACGACGAGGCUGUCAAUGCCCUUAAGGAUGUACAGCCUUGGCGAUCGCCAAAGGUACAGCUCUACACUUUCCAAUGGGCCCUCUCAAUGGAGUCCACUCUAUGGCCCGGUUUGAAGGGAGGGCCCCUGGGUGGUGUAAAAGGUUAAGAGCUGAGCUAUUACUCGGAAGGUGGGCUGUUAGAACCCACCUGAGAGGGGGCCAGUUCUGAGGCGUCUGGCAAGAAAAUGGUGGCAGACUUCAUCUAAAGAUCAAAGUCAUGAAAACCUCAUGGAGUGGAACAGAGUGGAGUGGAGGAGAGUGAUGAAGACAUUGAAGAAUUCUACUGACAUCUUCAGUCAAAAUUGUACACAUUCUGCAUGAGCACAAUGAAGUGUUUUUGGAAUUCCCAUUCUUUUUCAAGGCUAACCAUUUGCUAGGUUCAGCAGAGUUGUAUGCCUUGGCGUAGUCAAUAAAAUACUGUCAAACAUC